rnacentral:rRNA from 1 species
UACGAAGGGGGCGAGCGUUGUUCGGAAUUAUUGGGCGUAAAGGGUGCGUAGGCGGUUCGGUAAGUUUCGUGUGAAAUCUUCGGGCUCAACUCGAAGUCUGCACGAAAUACUGCCGGGCUUGAGUGUGGGAGAGGUGAGUGGAAUUUCCGGUGUAGCGGUGAAAUGCGUAGAUAUCGGAAGGAACACCUGUGGCGAAAGCGGCUCACUGGACCACAACUGACGCUGAGGCGCGAAAGCGUGGGGAGCAAACAGG